GGCCGACUAGCUCAGUUGGUUAGAGCGUCGUGCUAAUAUGCAUCUGUUUCAAUGCUAUUAACGCGAAGGUCUUGGGUUCGAUCCCCACGUUGGCCA